UAACCAACGUCACGGCCAACAUGUUGAAACUACAGAUACAGCAUGCUUUGCUCCAACCUCUGGCUGGGGCCGCAGUUCAUUUUUGUCGUUAACUGACCUCCAUGAUGCUUCUAAGGGAUUCCUUGUGAAGGAUACUUUAAUUGUUGAGGCCGAAGUCAGUGUCUUAUCCACAUUGAAGAAUUUCUCAGAGUAAAUAUAGAUUAGGCUUUUAUCUUAGUAAUAGAAGGAUGUUAGUGAGCUUGUCCUGUUAAUCUGCUUUUAUCAUCUUGUGGACCAACUUAUGAGCUAGAAUCUUGUAUACAAUCUCAGACUUCUUGUUAUGAUUGAAUUUUAUGUCUCUGAUAUUUGCCGUGGAAUAGUACUUAGCUUACGAAUCAAAAUUGGUAUUGAAAAAAAAGAAAAGAAAAAAAAAGAUGGUGAUAUUAUGUAGUUUAUAUA